ensembl:lncRNA
UGCGGUUACACAUUAUCAGCACUCAUUUAUUUCAUAAAUUAAAAUAAAAGUCACACUUUUAUUGUGGUGAGGCAUAACAACAGCAGGUACAGUAGUGAGGCAUAACAACAGCAGGUACAGUAGUGAGGCAUUACAACACCUUGUAUAGAGGUGUGACAUAACAGCUAGCACAGUGGUGAGGCAUAACAACAUCUAGUAUCUGCUUGUAGUGAGGAAUAACACAAGCUGGUGGAGAAUUUACGUUUAGAUUAAAAGUCCUUGCUCACCAUGCUUUCCAGAUGAGGACAGUUUGUGACCACUGGAGAAGACUCUGAUAGAGAAAUUGCCCACUCCCAGGUGAAAUGAAUAUAAUCAUAUUCAUAUAAUCACUAAUGCCUCAAAGCUGGUAGGGUGCAGAUUCUGACUUCCUUAUGUAAACUGCUAGAGUAAACACAGACUUCCAUAAGUCCUGACCUGUCCAGUUCAGUCCUGCAUUCUGCUCAGACUUGAAACCCGAAGGUUUCACUUCAUCCCUGUUUUAUCCAUUCCUUGUCUCAUGUUACAGACAUGCACCUCUUCAGCCCCCUUUCCAUGUCACAAUGCUGAUGAAUCUGGCUGAAUGGGCGCUCAGCAUAUGGAACCGGGGAGGUGCGGAGCCAGCCAUCGGCAGCAUUCAUGAGGUUCGGCAUGAUGUCAGGGACCACACACUGCUCCACCAGGAACACCACUGGGAAAACAACCAAUAGCAGGGCCCAGCCCAGGGCGCCAAGCCAAUAGGAGGAACCCAGGCUGGUGAUGUCACUACUGAUUUCCAUCCAAUGCUGGUAGGUGAAGAUGGACCAGCUGAGGAGGAAGAAGAAACCUGAAGAGAAACAGAGGGAGGAUGACAGAAAAGCAAUCACUCAGGUUAUCACUUGGGAACUAGACUCCACUCGAAAAAAGCUCUCCAGGCAAUCUAAGAAAUACAUACAUGUAAAAUGACCCGCGUAAACAAACUCCUCCCACAAAAGGCAGUGGGCAGAAGGAAAAAUUCACACAAGCAAUGAAACGUGAACAAAUGUACUGUUUAAAGUUAAAUCUUACAGACACACCGGUGGACACAGAGAGAUACAUCAGAUGUAUAUAGUCAGAAACACAUGGAUGCUCUUCAUCAGCUGCAGCUGAAAUCCGAGCUUUUGUUACAGUACUUCAUAAUGGCACAAUGUCCAUGCUUUGUGUCCCAUCUUACUGACCUGUGGGUCCAAGAGUGAGGAGCAGCAGGACAGUCGGGUUGAGUGCCUGGCCUGCCAUGAGCAAAGAGCGAUUGUUGGAGAAGGAGCGCACGGUCUGAGAUGUCCAGCAGAGGGCGAACAUAAGACACAGAGCUCCUGAACUCAGAGCCAUGAGGAAGGACAGCACAGCAAAUACUUGCUCUGCCUCUAGAGCUGCGUGGACGCACACACAAACACACACACACACACACACACACACACAGAGAGAGAGAAACAGUGAUUUUGUCAGCAGUGAUAAAUGAUUUCACAGUGACUUGUUAUAAUAUCAGCCUUGGAUAUUGUUUCUCCUUUCUUCAUGUACUGGACAUUUCCUCAGUGUUUGUCAUACGGUGUGUCAGUUUUUCAAACAGUAUUUCUGAAGACCUCGGAAAGAGUUCUGAGUAAUGCGGGAAUGGAACUCUCCCUUUUAGCAGUAUAACUGGCUCAUACUAGAGAGUUCAUGUCAUAAUCUGUCUAUGUUAUCAGGCCAAAUAUUGGUCGAACAUAGCAAAGUGAGAACAAUAACUACAGGCUGUCAUUUGCUCGAAAACAGCAACUGUUCGAGGUCUCAAUAAUGAUUAUGAAA